rnacentral:lncRNA from 1 species
CAAGCUUAACCAUCAUGAGGAAAAAAGUUAGAUACCACGAAGAAGCCAAAUAUCAAUACUAUUGAGAGAAAUAUGAACUUACUUACAAAUUUAACGCAGAUAGAUAGGGGAUUCGAUGGCGGCCCUGACAACUGGGUUAGCCCAACUCUAUAACUAAGUUAAGAAUUGAGCUUUUAACUGGGUGUACUAAGUGGUUGGAGAUGUAUUUUUCAUCUUUCAUCAUCCUUGAAGAUAAUCUUGAGCUGAACAACUAUAAAGAUAAAAAAAAUGACUAUUAACAUUUAAAACAACAGAUGUUACUUGCUAGGGUGAUAAAAACUACUAACCUCUGAACUACUAUAUUUAUAAAUAAAUUAAUGGCAAGACAGAAGGAGCCGCCACUCAUCUGUACUUAUACCUACUUCAGAACGGCAUUUUUCUUUUUGAUUUUGCCGCCCCUUUACGGGAAGUAAUACUAUUGCAAAUCCGACAUACUAUAUAGAAGAGAUUGAUUGAGGUCAGGGAUAUAAGACAUUUCUAUCAUCAAAUAUAUAUACAAGAGAGAUUAACUACUCGUGUGCUUGUCCUUGGCCUGCUUUGGUAAUGGUACAUAAUACAUUCCUGUUCCAAAUAGAUAGGCACCAUGUCAAUGCCGUUCAGCUAGCUGCUUCUGCAGGCAAAGCCAAAGACACAAGAUAGCCCUGUGUAGUUGGAUACAGCCAACAUGUUUCAGUGCGGAUCAGCUGCAGAAGAAGUUGGAUUUGGCCGGAGCCCUUGGAGCACCGAUCUAGCUAACGAACGAACAACACCGGUUUGCUCACCUCCAUAGCCGCUCGCAGACAAGCAAAGCAUCCGCCCAAUGUGUUCGUGUGAUCCAACGUACUACGCCCCUGUCCCUCCUUUUCCUAGUACCACACACACGUUUUCAGGUUUCAGUACGAGCUAGCUAGCCAACACCCGUUUGCAGCAGUGGCGUUUUGCCAGAAACCAAAAUGGAAGGUGAUUUUGUUAUUUGUGUAAUAACGGUGGAGUUUAAUUUCCUUAGAUAUAUAUUCAGAGACUGGCUAAUGACUGGGUAAUUAUAACUGCAAAACACUUGGGCUGAUUAUUAUCUCCCACUUGGCCCUAGUCGAUUUCAGUGUUUGUUAGCUUGCAGGCUACCAUGACUGAAUGAUUGAUUAUUCCGUAAUCUGUAGCUAAUCAGAUCGGAUACGCUAAUACGGCGCAGUAGGUAUAGGGAGGACAAAGUCCACAGGCCCAGUAGCACUCUUUCUGUCACUCACUCACUCACUCACUCACUCACUAGAGUUAUAGAGCAGACGACUCUCUCACUGUCAGUCCUCAUGAAACUGAAAGCUAUGAAAAUCCCAUCAAAAGAACUUGACCGUGAAAAAUACCCCAAUUAAAUUACAUAACCAUCUAAUUUUAUGAUGAUAGUUUGGUUCGUUAAAAACCUAAACCAAUUAGGCCCCGUUCUUUCACGAUUAAGAUAUAAGUAGAUUUUAGCACGGUUUUUAAACUGUUGAACGAUAUGUUUUAUCUGAAAACUUUCUAUAUUUAUAUAUUUCCUUCGUUUCAUACUAUAAAUUGUUUGAUUUUUUUCCCAGUCAAACUCUAUUAAAUUUGACUAAGUUUUUUGCAACAUAUAAAAUAUUAAAUUGGUUUUACUAAAUCUAAUAUUGAAUAUAAUUUGAUAAUAUGUAUGUUUUGUGUUGAAAAUAAUACUAUAUAUUUUUUAUAUAUUUGGUCAAACUUAAAAAUAUUUGAUUGAAAAAUAGGUAAACAAUUUAUAAUAUGAAACGGACGGAGCAUCAGCAUAUUUUAAGUUUGCAAUAAUCAAGGCUCAAUUAUGCACUAAUGUUUUUUUUCUUGUUUUGUGUAAGUAAUCUGAGCCGUUCGAUCACGCCUCUUCUCUCCCGGAUCACACGACACCCACCGUUUGCCUACUUUUUAUCUCCGUCCUCUUGGAUUGGAUGCGUCCGACACUCGAGCCACACCGAAUCCCAACCACCAUUGCCGCGCCGAGCUCUUCUUCUUCACCAUCAGCGAAGCAGAGCAGAGCAGAAGCAGAGCGCGGAGAUAUGCUCGGAGGUCGACGGCGAGGUCAGCAGCAAGAAGCGAGGUAGCGGGCGGCGGCCGCAGAGAGACAUGUGGACGCCGUCGCGGGGGUCGGCGAGCGGGCGGCGGGCGACGGGUCACCGCCGCAUCGCGGACUACCUCGCCGACGACCGGACGGAGGCGUCGACGGAGAACGGGUCGUUCAACACGGCCUACAGCGACGAGCUGUUCGCGCCGACGUCGUCGUCCGCCGGCGGCGAUGGCGUCGGUGGAAUGCUGCCGGCGUUCCUCGCCGACCAGAGCGACCUCGUGGAGGUCAUGCUGGAGCUCGACGAGGAGUCCAUGGUGGUGCGGAGCGUGACGCCCACCACGGGCGCGCUGUACGGGCCCACGUCGUUGGCCGGGGGCGGCGCCGCGCACACGCCGCCGGGGAGCGGGCGGAGCCUGAGCCGGUGCUCGUCGACGUCGUCGCGGAUACGCAAGAAGUUCGCGUGGCUACGGUCGCCGUCGCCCGCGCCGGCGCCUCGCGCCCCCACGCCGUCGGAGCCGCCGCCGCCGCGGGAGGCGGCGAUGGCCGCACGCGAGCGGCGGCGCAUCCAGGCGCGGCUGAACCGGUCCCGCUCCGGCGCCAGGCGCGCCCUCAAGGGCCUCCGCUUCAUCAGCCGCACCACCGGCUCCGCCGAGGCCGCCGAGCUCUGGACCCGCGUCGAGCACCGCUUCAACGCCCUCUCCCGCGACGGCCUCCUCUCCCGCGACAACUUCGGCGACUGCAUCGGUAAGCAAGCAAAGCCAUCCUCCAUGUCCAUGGCGCGCCGCGCGCGGGCGCGAUCACGCGAUGACACGGCGUACGGCGCCGGCAUUGGUGCAGGGAUGGAGGACUCGAAGGAGUUCGCCGUGGGCAUCUUCGACGCGCUGGCGCGGCGGCGGCGGCAGGAGCUCGAGCGGAUCAGCAAGGAGGAGCUCUACGACUUCUGGGUCCAAAUCUCCGACCAGAGCUUCGACGCGCGCCUCCAAAUCUUCUUCGACAUGUACCUAAGCCAGCCAUAAAUCCAACCAAAUUUCCUUCGAAUUUUGAGUUCGUGCGUGUUUCGAUGAAUUUGUAAAAAAAUAAACGAGUUUCUUUCAGGGUGGAUACCAACGUGGACGGGAGGAUCACUAGGGAGGAAGUGCAGGAGGCAAGUAGACUUAAUUACACUUACUUAUUACUCCAUGAUUAACUUGUAAAAUCACUGGACAGUAACAUUUUAGAAGCUUCCGUUGUUGCAUGGCUAACGACAUUACUACUACCGUAACUGUCACUCUCACUCUCACAGCAUUUCCAGUGUCAAACUAGGCUACACGAAUGAUUAACUUCACUGUUAGUUAAGGUAAUUAAAUAAUUUUUACUGCAUGUGGUUAUUUUUUUUUUUACAGCUGAUCGUGCUGAGCGCGUCGGCGAACAAGCUGUCGAAGCUGAAGGAGCAGGCGGAGGAGUACGCGUCGCUGAUCAUGGAGGAGCUCGACCCGGAGGACCUCGGCUACAUCGAGGUGAGGAUUUCGCUUUCGCCAUUUCUGUGCUCUGUGUCCGUUGCUGCUUGAGCUUGACUCGUCUUCUCCGGCGACGGCGUGGUGCAGCUGUGGCAGCUGGAGGCGCUGCUGCUCCAGCGAGACGCGUACAUGAACUACAGCCGGCCGCUCAGCAGCGGCAGCACGGCGCAGUGGAGCCAGAACCUCGGCGGCGGCGGCGGAGGGCAGCAAGGAGGGCAAGGGCAGGGGCAGGGGCAGUCGGAGGGGAGGAGGAACGACUGGAGGCGGCGGUGGAGCCCGCGGCGAGCGGCGGCGAGGGCGCAGGUGGCGGCGGAGGAGAACUGGCGGCGCGCGUGGGUGCUGGCGCUGUGGUUCGCCGCCAUGGCGGGACUGUUCGCGUGGAAGUUCGUGCAGUACCGCCGCACGCCGGCGUUCCGGGUGAUGGGGUACUGCCUCCCGACGGCGAAGGGCGCCGCCGAGACGCUCAAGCUCAACAUGGCGCUCGUCCUCCUCCCCGUCUGCCGCAACACGCUGACGUGGCUCCGCUCCUCCUGGGCCCGCUUCUUCGUCCCCUUCGACGACAGCAUCACCUUCCACAAGGUAGGUACUCCUCCUCCUCUCGAGCUCACCGCCGGUGGUUGGGAGGUCGCCGUCGCCGGAGUUCGGGGAGACGACUCGUCGCCCAAUGAUUGGCGGCCGGUGCGUCUCUGCCUUGUGGGCCCGGGUGGGCCGGCUCGGGAUCUUCUGCGGCUCGGCCCAUGUGGGGCGGUGCGACUUUUGGGCCGUGUAGGUGGAGAGUAGCUCGGGCUUUAAGUGGGCCCCACCGGGGCGGUCCAAUCAGUGUAGCGUGGCCGGGGAACCCGCGGGUACAGAAGAUCCCCGGCCCGGUCGGCUCAGGGUCAAAGCGCCGGUCAUUCAAAAGUCUCCCCGACCGACAGGGCUCCCACUGUCAUGUGGGGCCACUGUAAGCUACUCCAACCGGCAGGGCCACGUGUUCAUUAAGCUAAGCUCCAGGCAUAAAACGUUUGUAAAUGUACUUAUAGGAUCAAGGUGGUCAAGAUCGCAAUAAUCGUUUCUUCUGACAUUAGCAAUUAUAAAUUUACCACCCUCUUAACUCGUUAUCAUAAAACUAGAAUAUGAAUAGUGUAAAGCAUUUUAUUGUAACAUAUAAAAACCAUUGAUAAAUUUACAAAUACCCCUGCUUAUACCUAUGUAGGAUCAGUCGUCAUACGUCAAAUUUAAAUUUUAAAAGUUAAUUUUUAUUUUUUUAAUAUUUUGUUUUUAACAUUUUCUUUGGAAUUUAAAACACGUAUAUAAAAAUUUUACUUACGCUCCGUUCGUUUUUUCUCUUAAAUGGCAAGAAAACCGGAGCAAAGAAAUUAACAAAUAAUUAAUUAAUUAUUACUCCAUUACAAACUUAAAAAAUAGAUUCAUUUGAAUUUUUAAAUAAAAUUUUAUAUAAAAACAUUUUAUAAAAAAUACACCGUUUAAUAGUUUGGGAAACGUAUAAAAAACAACAAAGUUGAAGUUUAGACUUUUUUUAGGUAACUUUUUUUUAGGGAACGAAGUUUAGAGUUGGAGUUUAGAACGGGCCUUUAUAAAUUAAUUUUGAUUGUUUCAUCUACUUUUUCACAACUAAUUAGUUGUAGAGCAAAGAGAGCGAGGCUAAAAUUAGCACAUUGUUGAGGUUGCUAGUAAUUGCAAAAGCUAAAAAACUUUGGCUACACCUGCAGAUCAUCGCGACGGCAAUCGCGCUGGGCAUCUGCACGCACGCGGGGACGCACCUGGCGUGCGACUUCCCGCGGCUGAUCGGGUCGAGCCGGGAGGAGUACGAGCUGCUGCUGUCC